rnacentral:rRNA from 1 species
UGAGGAACAUGACCUUCGGCGGGGGAUAGCCGGCCCAACGGCCGGGUAAUACCGCGUACGACCACAUGGGGACAUCCCUGAGUGGUGAAAGCAGCAAUGCGCCGAUGGAGUGCCUCGCGGCCUAUCAGCUAGUUGGUGUGGGUAAUGGCCCACCAAGGCGACGACGGGUAGCCGGCCUGAGAGGGCGACCGGCCACACUGGGACUGAGACACGGCCCAGACUCCGUACGGGAGGNAG